UGGGGAAUUUUGGACAAUGGGCGAAAGCCUGAUCCAGCUAUGCCGCGUGCAGGAUGAAGGCCUUCGGGUUGUAAACUGCUUUUGUACGGAACGAAAAGCCUCUUUCUAAUAAAGAGGGGUCAUGACGGUACCGUAAGAAUAAGCACCGGCUAACUACGUGCCAGCAGCCGCGGUAAUACGUAGGGUGCAAGCGUUAAUCGGAAUUACUGGGCGUAAAGCGUGCGCAGGCGGUUUUGUAAGACAGAGGUGAAAUCCCCGGGCUCAACCUGGGAACUGCCUUUGUGACUGCAAGGCUGGAGUGCGGCAGAGGGGGAUGGAAUUCCGCGUGUAGCAGUGAAAUGCGUAGAUAUGCGGAGGAACACCGAUGGCGAAGGCAAUCCCCUGGGCCUGCACUGACGCUCAUGCACGAAAGCGUGGGGAGCAAAACAGGAUUAGAUACCCCUGGUAGUCCACGCCCUAAACGAUGUCAACUGGUUGUUGGGGUCUUCACUGACUCAGUAACGAAGCUAACGCGUGAAGUUGACCGCCUGGGGAGUACGGCCGCAAGGUUGAAACUCAAAUGAAUUGAC
rnacentral:rRNA from 1 species